AUGUGGAGCGCUUAGAAGUGAGAAUGCCGGUGUGAGUAGCGAAAGACGGGUGAGAAUCCCGUCCACCGAUUGACUAAGGUUUCCAGAGGAAGGCUCGUCCGCUCUGGGUUAGUCGGGUCCUAAGCUGAGGCCGACAGGCGUAGGCGAUGGAUAACAGGUUGAUAUUCCUGUACCACCAUUAUUCGUUUUAAGCGAUGGGGGGACGCAGUAGGAUAGGCGAAGCGUGCUGUUGGAGUGCACGUCCAAGCAGUGAGAUUGAGUGUUAGGCAAAUCCGGCACUCUUAAGAUUGAGCUGUGAUGGGGAGAGGAACUUGUUCCUCGAGUCGUUGAUUUCACACUGCCGAGAAAAGCCUCUAGCUAGAAUAACGGUGCCCGUACCGCAAACCGACACAGGUAGUCAAGAUGAGAAUUCUAAGGUGAGCGAGCGAACUCUCGUUAAGGAACUCGGCAAAAUGACCCCGUAACUUCGGGAGAAGGGGUGCUCUUUGAGGUUCACGCUUCGAAGAGCCGCAGUGAAUAGGCCCAAGCGACUGUUUAUCAAAAACACAGGUCUCUGCUAAACCGUAAGGUGACGUAUAGGGGCUGACGCCUGCCCGGUGCUGGAAGGUUAAGAGGAGUGGUUAGCGCAAGCGAAGCUACGAAUCGAAGCCCCAGUAAACGGCGGCCGUAACUAUAACGGUCCUAAGGUAGCGAAAUUCCUUGUCGGGUAAGUUCCGACCCGCACGAAAGGCGUAACGAUUUGGGCACUGUCUCAACGAGAGACUCGGUGAAAUCAUAGUACCGGUGAAGAUGCCGGUUACCCGCGACAGGACGGAAAGACCCCGUGGAGCUUUACUGUAGCCUGAUAUUGAAAUUCGGUACAGUUUGUACAGGAUAGGUAGGAGCCUUAGAAGCGUGAGCGCUAGCUUACGUGGAGGCAUUGGUGGGAUACUACCCUAAUUGUAUUGGAUUUCUAACCCGCAGCACUUAUCGUGCUGGGAGACAGUGUCAGGCGGGCAGUUUGACUGGGGCGGUCGCCUCCUAAAGAGUAACGGAGGCGCUCAAAGGUUCCCUCAGAAUGGUUGGAAAUCAUUCAUAGAGUGUAAAGGCAUAAGGGAGCUUGACUGCGAGACCUACAAGUCGAGCAGGGUCGAAAGACGGACUUAGUGAUCCGGUGGUUCCGCAUGGAAGGGCCAUCGCUCAACGGAUAAAAGCUACCCCGGGGAUAACAGGCUUAUCUCCCCCAAGAGUUCACAUCGACGGGGAGGUUUGGCACCUCGAUGUCGGCUCAUCGCAUCCUGGGGCUGUAGUCGGUCCCAAGGGUUGGGCUGUUCGCCCAUUAAAGCGGUACGCGAGCUGGGUUCAGAACGUCGUGAGACAGUUCGGUCCCUAUCCGUCGUGGGCGUAGGAAAUUUGAGAGGAGCUGUCCUUAGUACGAGAGGACCGGGAUGGACAUACCUCUGGUGUACCAGUUGUCGUGCCAACGGCAUAGCUGGGUAGCUAUGUAUGGACGGGAUAAGUGCUGAAAGCAUCUAAGCAUGAAGCCCCCCUCGAGAUGAGAUUUCCCAACUUC
rnacentral:rRNA from 1 species